UACGAAGGGUGCAAGCGUUGCUCGGAAUUAUUGGGCGUAAAGGGCAGGUAGGUGGUCUUAUUUGUCUAGGGUGAAAUCCCAGGGCUUAACCCUGGAAGUGCCUUAGAAACGGUAGGACUAGAGUUCUAGAGAGGGUCGUGGAAUUCCCGGUGUAGCGGUGAAAUGCGUAGAGAUCGGGAGGAACACCAGAAGCGAAGGCGACGACCUGGAUAGAUACUGACACUCAACUGCGAAAGCGUGGGGAGCAAACAGG
rnacentral:rRNA from 1 species